UACAGAGGUGGCAAGCGUUGUUCGGAAUUACUGGGCGUAAAGGGCGCGUAGGCGGUUCGUUAAGUCCUGUGUGAAAUCCCCCGGCUCAACUGGGGAACUGCACAGGAAACUAGCGGGCUUGAGUUCGGGAGAGGGAAGCGGAAUUCCGGGUGUAGCGGUGAAAUGCGUAGAUAUCUGGAGGAACACCGGUGGCGAAGGCGGCAUUCUGGACCAACACUGACGCUGAGGAGCGAAAGCCAGGGGAGCAAACGGG
rnacentral:rRNA from 1 species